rnacentral:rRNA from 1 species
AAACCAACCGGGAUGCCUCAGUAACGGCGAGUGAAGCGGCAAAAGCUCAAAUUUGAAAUCUGGCACUUUCAGUGUCCGAGUUGUAAUUUGUAGAAGUAGUUUUGGGACUGGUCCUUAUCUAUGUUUCUUGGAACAGGACGUCAUAGAGGGUGAGAACCCCGUAUGAUGAGGCCCCCAGUCCUUUGUAAAACGCUUUCGAAGAGUCGAGUUGUUUGGGAAUGCAGCUCUAAGUGGGUGGUAAAUUCCAUCUAAAGCUAAAUAUUGGCGAGAGACCGAUAGCGAACAAGUACAGUGAUGGAAAGAUGAAAAGAACUUUGAAAAGAGAGUGAAAAAGUACGUGAAAUUGUUGAAAGGGAAGGGCAUUUGAUCAGACAUGGUGUUUUGCGCCCUUUGCUCCUUGUGGGCGGAGGAUACGCAGCUCACUGGGCCAACAUCAGUUUUGGGAGCAGGAUAAAUCUGUAGGAACGUAGCUUUCUUCGGAAAGUGUUAUAGCCUAUGGGAAUACUGCUACCUGGGACUGAGGACUGCGUCUUUUGACAAGGAUGUUGGCAUAAUGGUUAAAUGCCGC